ensembl:snRNA U6 U6 spliceosomal RNA
GUGCUUGCUUCGGGAGCACAUAUACUAAAAUUGGGACAAUACAGAGAAGAUUAGCAUGGCCCCUGUGCAAGGAUGACAAGCAAAUUUAUGAAGUGUUCCAUUUUUUA